UACGGAGGGGGCUAGCGUUGUUCGGAAUUACUGGGCGUAAAGCGCACGUAGGCGGUCUUUUAAGUCGGGGGUGAAAUCCUGGAGCUCAACUCCAGAACUGCCUUCGAUACUGGAAGACUCGAGUCCGGGAGAGGUGAGUGGAACUGCGAGUGUAGAGGUGAAAUUCGUAGAUAUUCGCAAGAACACCAGUGGCGAAGGCGGCUCACUGGCCCGGUACUGACGCUGAGGUGCGAAAGCGUGGGGAGCAAACAGG
rnacentral:rRNA from 1 species